rnacentral:rRNA from 1 species
CGUGAGUAACCUGCCCUGGAGUGGGGAAUAACAGCUGGAAACAGCUGCUAAUACCGCAUAAUGCAGUUGGGCCGCACGGCUCUGACUGCCAAAGAUUUAUCGCUCUGGGAUGGACUCGCGUCUGAUUAGCUAGUUGGUGGGGCAACGGCCCACCAAGGCGACGAUCAGUAGCCGGACUGAGAGGUUGGCCGGCCACAUUGGGACUGAGACACGGCCCAGACUCCUACGGAAGGCAGCAG